rnacentral:rRNA from 1 species
AACGAACGCUGGCGGCAGGCCUAACACAUGCAAGUCGAACGCCCCGCAAGGGAGUGGCAGACGGGUGAGUAACACGUGGGAACAUACCCUUCGGUUCGGAAUAACUCAGGGAAACUUGAGCUAAGACCGGAUACGUCCGCGAGGAGAAAGAUUCAUCGCCGGAGGAUUGGCCCGCGUCCGAUUAGCUAGUUGGUGAGGUAACGGCUCACCAAGGCGACGAUCGGUAGCUGGUCUGAGAGGAUGAUCAGCCACAUUGGGACUGAGACACGGCCCAAACUCCUACGGGAGGCAGCAGUGGGGAAUAUUGGACAAUGGGCGAAAGCCUGAUCCAGCCAUGCCGCGUGAGUGAUGAAGGCCCUAGGUUGUAAAGCUCUUUCGUCAGGGACGAUAAUGACGGUACCUGAAGAAGAAGCCCCGGCUAACUUCGUGCCAGCCGCCGCCGUAA